rnacentral:rRNA from 1 species
UACGAAGGGGGCGAGCGUUGUUCGGAUUUACUGGGCGUAAAGGGCGCGCAGGCGGCUCAUUUUGUCAGGCGUGAAAGCCCCGGGCUUAACCUGGGAACUGCGUUUGAUACGUGAUGGCUGGAGUGGGGAAGAGGGUCGUGGAAUUCCCAGUGUAGAGGUGAAAUUCGUAGAUAUUGGGAAGAACACCGGUGGCGAAGGCGGCGACCUGGUCCUUGACUGACGCUGAGGCGCGAAAGCGUGGGGAGCAAACAGG